CAUGCUGUGAGCUCGAUGAGUAGGGCGGGACACGUGGUAUCCUGUCUGAAUAUGGGGGGACCAUCCUCCAAGGCUAAAUACUCCUGACUGACCGAUAGUGAACCAGUACCGUGAGGGAAAGGCGAAAAGAACCCCGGCGAGGGGAGUGAAAAAGAACCUGAAACCGUGUACGUACAAGCAGUGGGAGCACGCUUAGGCGUGUGACUGCGUACCUUUUGUAUAAUGGGUCAGCGACUUAUAUUCUGUAGCAAGGUUAACCGAAUAGGGGAGCCGAAGGGAAACCGAGUCUUAACUGGGCGUUAAGUUGCAGGGUAUAGACCCGAAACCCGGUGAUCUAGCCAUGGGCAGGUUGAAGGUUGGGUAACACUAACUGGAGGACCGAACCGACUAAUGUUGAAAAAUUAGCGGAUGACUUGUGGCUGGGGGUGAAAGGCCAAUCAAACCGGGAGAUAGCUGGUUCUCCCCGAAAGCUAUUUAGGUAGCGCCUCGUGAAUUCAUCUCCGGGGGUAGAGCACUGUUUCGGCAAGGGGGUCAUCCCGACUUACCAACCCGAUGCAAACUGCGAAUACCGGAGAAUGUUAUCACGGGAGACACACGGCGGGUGCUAACGUCCGUCGUGAAGAGGGAAACAACCCAGACCGCCAGCUAAGGUCCCAAAGUCAUGGUUAAGUGGGAAACGAUGUGGGAAGGCCCAGACAGCCAGGAUGUUGGCUUAGAAGCAGCCAUCAUUUAAAGAAAGCGUAAUAGCUCACUGGUCGAGUCGGCCUGCGCGGAAGAUGUAACGGGGCUAAACCAUGCACCGAAGCUGCGGCAGCGACGCUGAUGCGUUGUUGGGUAGGGGAGCGUU
rnacentral:rRNA from 1 species